AGUGAAACUGUGCGCUAACGUCCUGAAUUUGUCCACUUAGAACAGAUAUUUUGUUUUCAGUUGCAAACGGAACGAAAUGGGGAGGGGCCUACCUGAAUUUGUCCAAUAUAAACUAUAGUUUGCUUUUGGAGUAAACGCAACAGACUAAACGUUUUGCAACAGAAUCGGUGUAAUGAUUACACCCCAGAACUCUGCCAGACAAUUUUAUGCAACAAUCCCCAGUAUAUUUGUUAUGAUGCGAAGAAAGUACAACAUUUCGAGUGGCAGUAAACUAUUACAACCUUCUUGGUGUAAAACCUGAUGCCUCACUGGAGCAAAUAAAGAAUGCAUUUUUUGACAAAUCAAAAAAGUGCACUAGAACUCCUGCAGCAAGAACCCACAACAU